UACGUAGGGUGCGAGCGUUAAUCGGAAUUACUGGGCGUAAAGCGUGCGCAGGCGGUUUUGUAAGCCAGAUGUGAAAUCCCCGGGCUUAACCUGGGAAUGGCAUUUGGGACUGCAAGGCUUGAGUUUGGCAGAGGAGACUGGAAUUCCUGGUGUAGCAGUGAAAUGCGUAGAUAUCAGGAGGAAUACCGAUGGCGAAGGCAGGUCUCUGGGCUAGAACUGACGCUCAUGCACGAAAGCGUGGGGAGCGAACAGG
rnacentral:rRNA from 1 species